CUACGGGUGGCUGCAGUGAGGAAUAUUGCACAAUGGAGGAAACUCUGAUGCAGCAACGCCGCGUGGAGGAUGACGCAUUUCGGUGUGUAAACUCCUUUUAUAUGUCAAGAAAAUGACGGUAGCAUAUGAAUAAGCACCGGCUAACUCCGUGCCAGCAGCCGCGGUAAUACGGAGGGUGCAAGCGUUACGCGGAAUCACUGGGCGUAAAGGACGCGUAGGCGGGAUAUCAAGUCAGGUGUGAAAUCCUACAGCUUAACUGUAGAACUGCACUUGAAACUGGUAACCUAGAGUAUGGGAGGGGGAGAUGGAAUUAGUGGUGUAGGGGUAAAAUCCGUAGAUAUCACUAGGAAUACCUAAAGCGAAGGCGAUCUCCUGGAACAUUACUGACGCUAAGGCGUGAAAGCGUGGGGAGCAAACAGGAUUAGAUACCCUUGUAGUC
rnacentral:rRNA from 1 species